GACGAACGCUGGCGGCGUGCUUAACACAUGCAAGUCGAACGGAAAGGCCCUGCUUUUGUGGGGUGCUCGAGUGGCGAACGGGGGUGUAACACGUGAGUAACCUGCCCUUGACUUUGGGAUAACUUCAGGAAACUGGGGCUAAUACCGGAUAGGAGCUCCUGCUGCAUGGUGGGCGUUGGAAAGUUUCGGCGGUGGGGGAUGGAUUCGCGGCUUAUCAGCUUGUUGGUGGGGUAGUGGUAUACCAAGCCUUUGACGGGUAGCCGGCCUGGGAGGUGGACCGGGCACAAUGGGACUGAGAGAGGGAGCAGACGGCUACGGGAGGCAGCAGUGGGGAGUAUUGCACAAUGGGCGGAAGCGUGAUGCAGCAACGCCGCGUGCGGGAUGACGGCCUUCGGGUUGUAAACCGCUUUCGCCGGUGACGAAGAGUGAGUGACGGUAAUGGGUAAAGAAGCACCGGCUAACUACGUG
rnacentral:rRNA from 1 species